CUUGUUGCAUAUUUGAAUGGAAUUGGUUAUUGAAGUAGUGUUAUAGAAUAUGGCCACAAAAGCUGAAAAAAAGACAAUGUAUAAAAAAUAUUAAUACCAAAUAUGUUAGUGUGAAAAUGUGUUUUAUUUAUGCAAUGGAUACUUAGUUUAGUUUAUUAUUGUGUAAAAUUAAAGUGUGUUUCAGGAAAGUAUAAUUUGUAAGUUUACACAAGUUUUAUCAAACAUAUGGAUACAGUUAUACAGUAUCAUACAUGAUAUAAGAUAGAAUAAAUAUUAAACCUGGAAAGACAUUUGUAGCAAUAUGUAAGGGAAAGCUAUUGGGUAUUUAAACAUUGAAUGUAACAACAUGACAGGUCUCUUACAUUAUACUGUUUCUAGAGAAAGAAGACAAAAGAUGUUCAAUGUGACAGCUGGAAAUGUAAGUAGCAGGCUACAAGACUGAUUUCCAAACCAAAUGAUAGGCACUGAUAUGUAUUGUUGUUUAUAAAAUGUUUCAUUGAUAUGUUUACCUGUUACACACAGGUAAAUGUCAACUUCUGGGCACAAAUUACAGGUGGAGGAUGAUUGAUUUAGACUUUAGCCUAAGAGGAUUUUAACUAAUGUAUUCCAUGUAACUUUUACCAUGAUUUUAGAUGCCUAAGUUCCAAAACAUUAACACUCUUAUUUGCAGAAACGCCCAUGGAUGAAGAAUCAGACUGCCUAAUGGAGGACGAAUGAUGAAAAUUGUCACAUGCUGCAAGAAAAAUGCCGAGCUUGAAACAUAGAAUCCCACAAACCACCAGCACCAACUCAGACAGAUGGUAUUUCAACAUACAGUAAAUUCACUGUCGUAGAGCGGAUAUAGCUGGUCAAAUCAUACAAGAAUGUUGAGUUGAUGGACAAUGAAGAGCAGUUACAUGACAUGAAAGUACAGCUGACCACAGUGCAGGGUAACCACAAGGAAUCUAUUGAACAGCUUGGGGACAAGUCCCAGCAAGUGGCCAUGCUGAGGACUGAGGACUCUCGAACACAGCAACAGAACCAGGCAAUGUCUGAAGAUGUUGAUUGUGAAUGAAGUUCUACAAUUUAUAUUAAUCACUCUCGACACCUCAUUCCUGAUGGAAUCCAUCGCCACGAACAUAUGAGAGAAGAGGCCAGUUUCUGCCCUUUUAAUGCUGAGCGCCAAGCAAGGGAGCCACUGGUACCAUUUUGUAUGUCUUUGGUAUAACACAGCCAGGGAUUGAACCCACGACCUCCCGCACUCAGAGCGGAUGCUCUACCACUAGGCUAUCGAGGCGGUUGUUGUUUAUUGUUACAGUUGAGCAGUACAUCAGCUGAAGCAAGAAUUAAAGAAGAUGCAAGAGCAAGAUGAAGUACAGUGACCUGAAACAGGAAGCGAUCACAUCCCAGGAAAGGAACCAAGCCCGCCCACUUAGCUCAGUAGGGAUCGCGAGUUCGAUUCUCAAGCGGGGAGUAUACUGGUACAGAAUCCAGGAACGCUGGUUAGGUUAACUGCCUGCCGUUACAUAACUGAAAUACUGUUGAAAAACAACGUUAAAUCCAAAACAAACAGGGCAGGAACCACCAAGGUCUUCAGGAGCUCUCUGCAAAGGAGGAAGAAUUAGUUGUUGUUAAAGUGGAACUCAGUGCCUUACAAGAAAAAUACAAAACAAGUGU